AGAAGAUCUUCCUUACUCUUUCUCUUGCUAUUAUUGAUUUCUUAUUCAGACUUUGAUUUGUGUUUCUACUAUCAUGUCUGAGUAAUCACCUUAUUGGGUUUAAGGAGUCUCAAUAGGGAUUUAGAUGGAUUAGUAGAUCGAAAACCGCUUAGGAUUAUUCUUAGAGUUCUUCAUCUUGAUUAUUCUUAUUGCUAGUUUUAGAUUGAUCACUUAGAAUUUGAUAUUAGAUAAUAGGUAUGCCCACCAUAGGUACUUGUUAUUU
rnacentral:sRNA from 1 species